GGAAUAUGGCUUGUUUAGUGAAAAGCCACUGUGACAUCACAACACAGACUCCAGCAUAUGUCCUCCUUACAGUAGGUCAGAGCUAGUCUAGGUGCACCAGUCACAGGACACUGAGACUCAGGGUGGCAGAUGUCAAGUCCUUCAUUGUUCAGUUUAAGCUCAGAGAAGACUCACAUCCUUGGAUCCCAGACUCUUUGAUGACAGGAAGGCCAAACUAUCUCAAAUAAUCUCAAAUGGAUAAGCAACAACCUCCAAUCUCACAGCACUGGUAAUUGUGGCUCAGAGUUCAUGCAGAUGGAGACAUCAGUGAAAUACCCGCAAUCAGGUUCUGUAUUUUCUCCGUUUGCCGUUCAUCAAAAUGAAAGGUUUUCAUGAAGAGGAUUAAAGGCCACAAAUAAACUAUAUUGUAAUGCUCUCUUUGAAAUAUUUAAGGCAUUUAUUUAAAAAAGGGCAGUUUAAGAUGAAAGGUCAGUCAGUGAUAA
rnacentral:lncRNA from 1 species